UCCUGGCUCAGGAUGAACGCUAGCGACAGGCUUAACACAUGCAAGUCGAGGGGCAUCAUGAGGUAGCAAUACCUUGAUGGCGACCGGCGCACGGGUGAGUAACGCGUAUGCAACCUGCCCGAUACCGGGGUAUAGCCCAUGGAAACGUGGAUUAACACCCCAUAGUACUUUUAUCCUGCAUGGGAUGUGAGUUAAAUGUUCAAGGUAUCGGAUGGGCAUGCGUCCUAUUAGUUAGUUGGCGGGGUAACAGCCCACCAAGACGAUGAUAGGUAGGGGUUCUGAGAGGAAGGUCCCCCACAUUGGAACUGAGACACGGUCCAAACUCCUACGGGAGGCAGCAGUGAGGAAUAUUGGUCAAUGGACGAGAGUCUGAACCAGCCAAGUAGCGUGAAGGAUGAAGGUCCUACGGAUUGUAAACUUCUUUUAUAAGGGAAUAAAACCUCCCACGUGUGGGAGCUUGUAUGUACCUUAUGAAUAAGCAUCGGCUAACUCCGUGCCAGCAGCCGCGGUAAUACGGAGGAUGCGAGCGUUAUCCGGAUUUAUUGGGUUUAAAGGGUGCGUAGGCGGUUUAUUAAGUUAGUGGUUAAAUAUUUGAGCUAAACUCAAUUGUGCCAUUAAUACUGGUAAACUGGAGUACAGACGAGGUAGGCGGAAUAAGUUAAGUAGCGGUGAAAUGCAUAGAUAUAACUUAGAACUCCGAUAGCGAAGGCAGCUUACCAGACUGUAACUGACGCUGAUGCACGAGAGCGUGGGUAGCGAACAGGAUUAGAUACCCUGGUAGUCCACGCCGUAAACGAUGCUCACUGGUUCUGUGCGAUAUAUUGUACGGGAUUAAGCGAAAGUAUUAAGUGAGCCACCUGGGGAGUACGUCGGCAACGAUGAAACUCAAAGGAAUUGACGGGGGCCCGCACAAGCGGAGGAACAUGUG
rnacentral:rRNA from 1 species